AAAAAUAAUUUGUCGAUAAGUUAUACGGCUUUUGAAAAUAAGUGAAAAUAAGCCAAAAUCAAAAUUUAUAAUAUGACCUUGACCUUUGACCUUGACCUUAUUUUCAUUUUUUUGGACCAAGGAUCUCAAAUCAAAAGACCCUAGGUCUCUAUCACUUAUGGUUUACCAGUUAGAAAUGCAUAUUCUUAUAUCAAACAUAAAAGGGGGAUAACUCUCAUAUGGAAUCUAUAUACGGCUUCGGUCAAAAUAAAACAGAACAUCCUGAGGAUAUAACGAGCAAUUUGGAAAAAUAAAUUUGUCGGUUUCUUAUACGGUUGCGAAGCCUUAGAGAUAACAAGAAAAACAGUGUUCGGGAGAUAACUCUUAUUUGGGAAAGUAUUUGGUUAAAAGAGUUGUUUCAAAAGCGUAUAAACUGUUCGAUAUCAUAUUCCAAAAAUCUAAGCGACAUCUUGCGAAACAAAAAAACAGCGAAGGAAACAAAUUAGGCGGAAGAAAAAAAAAAAAAUAAUAAUAAUAAUAAUAAUAAUAAUCAGAACAAAUACAAUAGGUCUUUCAACUGAAAGGUUGAAAGACCUAAUAAUAAUAAUAAUCAGAACAAACCCUAUAGGUCUUUCAACUGAAAAGUUGAAAGACCUAAUAAUAAUCAGAACAA
rnacentral:lncRNA from 1 species